GACCUGGUUGAUCGGUUUGAGCGUUAAGUUCAACACUGGUCUGGCUGGGUCUUUCCUUCUGGGGAACUAGUGUGCUAUUUAUUUAGUGCGCUAGGGAUCCAGGACUGUUACUUUGAAAAAAUUAGAGUGUUUAAAGCAGGCUAACGCUUGAAUACAUUAGCAUGGAAUAAUGAAAUAGGACGUUUGAUCCUAUUUUGUUGGUUUCUAGGAUUGACGUA
rnacentral:rRNA from 1 species